rnacentral:rRNA from 1 species
AAGACCUUGCGCUUUUGGAGCGGCCGAMGUCUGAUUAGCUUGUUGGUGAGGUAAAAGCUUACCAAGGCUUCGAUCAGUAGCUGGUCUGAGAGGACGGCCAGCCACACUGGGACUGAGACACGGCCCAGACUCCUACGGGAGGCAGCAGUGGGGAAUUUUGGACAAUGGGGGCAACCCUGAUCCAGCCAUGCCGCGUGAGUGAAGAAGGCCUUCGGGUUGUAAAGCUCUUUCAGCCGGAACGAAACGGUUACGGUUAAUACCCGUGACUACUGACGGUACCGGAAGAAGAAGCACCGGCUAACUACGUGCCAGCAGCCGCGGUAAUACGUAGGGUGCAAGCGUUAAUCGGAAUUACUGGGCGUAAAGCGUGCGCAGGUGGUUUUGUAAGUCAGAUGUGAAKUCCCCGGGCUUAACCUGGGAACU